rnacentral:rRNA from 1 species
CGUAGGCGGUGGGACAAGUCGGAUGUGAAAUCCCCGGGCUCAACCUGGGAAUUGCAUUCGAAACUGUUCGACUCGAGUUCGGCAGAGGGGAGUGGAAUUCCACAUGUAGCGGUGAAAUGCGUAGAUAUGUGGAGGAACACCGGUGGCGAAGGCGGCUCCCUGGGCUGAAACUGACGCUGAGGCGCGAAAGCGUGGGUAGCAAACA